rnacentral:lncRNA from 1 species
GUUUUUUCACAUUUUGAGCUAGUUUUUGAAUUGAGCAAAUUUAUUUCAAUUUUUAUUUUUCGAGGUUGAUUCUCAUAUUAAAAUUGUUCGCACGUCAGAUAUCCAGUUGAUGGUGUUAUUAAGGGGAAGGAGCGUGGUGAAGAGUCCUACACAGAUGGUUUAAGGGAUCAGUCAUGAUCUCUUUAAGAGAUAAAAUACUAUUGUCAUCGGGUCCUAUUAUCUGCU